rnacentral:rRNA from 1 species
UACGUAGGCAGCGAGCGUUGUUCGGAGUUACUGGGCGUAAAGCGUGCGUAGGCGGUGGUCCAAGUCUGGUGUGAAAUCUCCCGGCUCAACUGGGAGGGUGCGCCGGAAACUGGGCCGCUGGAGUGUGGGAGAGGCAAGCGGAAUUCCAGGUGUAGCGGUGAAAUGCGUAGAUAUCUGCAGGAACACCCGUGGCGAAAGCGGCGCGCUGGACCACUACUGACGCUGAGGAACGAAAGCUAGGGGAGCAAACAGG